rnacentral:misc_RNA from 1 species
ACGCUCUGAAGAGACAGGGACGUACCCUCUACGGAUUCGGUGGUUAGACAACCAACCGCCUUUGUGCUACACGCACAGGACAACAAACGGCCGUUUUAACGGCCACCAAAUUUUUAGAAAAGAUGCCUCUAUCACACAUGUUGUGAAAUGUUGUACAUACUGGGUUAUGAUAUAUGUAUAUCUGACAUAAAGAACAGGAGUUCAUGGAAUACAGAAAGGGUUAUUGAUAAGUAGUUUAUGUUAAGGCAAGGUCAAAAUCACCACCCGUUCCCUAACCCCCCCCCCCCCCCC